GAUGAACGCUGGCGGCGUGCUUAACACAUGCAAGUCGAACGAAACACCUUAUUUGAUUUUCUUCGGAACUGAAGAUUUGGUGAUUGAGUGGCGGACGGGUGAGUAACGCGUGGGUAACCUGCCCUGUACAGGGGGAUAACAGUCAGAAAUGACUGCUAAUACCGCAUAAGACCACAGCACCGCAUGGUGCAGGGGUAAAAACUCCGGUGGUACAGGAUGGACCCGCGUCUGAUUAGCUGGUUGGUGAGGUAACGGCUCACCAAGGCGACGAUCAGUAGCCGGCUUGAGAGAGUGAACGGCCACAUUGGGACUGAGACACGGCCCAAACUCCUACGGGAGGCAGCAGUGGGGAAUAUUGCACAAUGGGGGAAACCCUGAUGCAGCGACGCCGCGUGAGUGAAGAAGUAUUUCGGUAUGUAAAGCUCUAUCAGCAGGGAAGAAAAUGACGGUACCUGACUAAGAAGCCCCGGCUAACUACGCG
rnacentral:rRNA from 1 species